ensembl:misc_RNA 7SK 7SK RNA
GUGAGGGCGAUCUGGCCACGACAUCUGCCACCCCGUUGAUCGCCAGGGUUGAUUCGGCUGAUCUGGCUGGCUAGGUGGGUGUCCCCUUCUUCCCUCCCCACUCCACGUGUGUCCCUCCUGAAGCUGUGCAUGCGGUCAAAGAGGAUGACCAUCCCCAUAGGGGAGGACCAUUCUUUGGUCAAGGGUGUACGAGUAGCUUCACUCCCCUGCUAGAACCUCCAAACAAGCUCUCAGGGUCCAUUGUAGAAAGCAAGCUGCCAGGUCCGGGACUUGAACUGCAGUUGGUCAUGUGGGAAUCCAGUGC